rnacentral:misc_RNA from 1 species
GAAAUUCAAUAUGGCGAGGAGAUCACAUUUGAUUACAAUUCUGUGACAGAGAGUAAGGAAGAAUAUGAAGCAUCUGUUUGUUUGUGUGGUAGCCAAGUUUGUCGGGGCAGCUACUUAAAUCUGACAGGUGAAGGGGCUUUCCAGAAGGUGUUGAAGGAGCAGCAUGCCAUACUGGAUCGACAUCAUUUGAUUCUUGAAGCUUGUGAACUAAAUUCUGUAUCUGACGAAGAUUAUCUUGACUUGGGG